AAGAAAGGUGGAAAGGGGGAUGCAUGACACAAUUCAAAUUGCCUGAAAUGCCUGUAAUAAACAGUUGUUUUGUGCAUCUGAAUAUCUGCAUCUGUCAGUUCUCUUUAGAAAACAUACAAGAAAAACCUCGGGAAAGUUUAUUUGGGCCACCUGCAAUAAUAAAAUUGAAGUGACCCAAGCCUGAAAAUCACACCAUGUAUCUCCAUGUGAGUAUAAAAGCUGGAGUAUGGGAUAUAUUUAAGCUAAAAACCAAAACCAACCCAUGCUGCUUAACUAAUCCUUGCUGUAACCUUCUGCCCAGACUUUGCCUGGGACUGGGAGCCUGGGGCAGGCACUGGGCAGGCAGGAGCCCUGCCAAAGACUCCUCCUGGCCUUGUCUCCCUGCCCUCCUGGGGGCUUUCCAGCUUGCACUUUGUUUCACUUUCUCUUUCUGCUGUGCAGGGCUGUGCUGGAAGGGUUGCAACAUCCUCUCUCAAUUAUUUACACUAUUUGCAUGGAAAUCAUAACAAAAUAUUUUUCCUUUUAAUAUUAAGAAUAAUUUUUUAAAUACUACUAAAGCCAAGCUGGUGCUGCACUAAACUAGUUGGUGAUACUCUUUUAAAUGCCCUUUCUAAAGACUUUUUAAGAGGGGAAUUGCAUUAACCUCUCAGCUGCAGCUUCCCUGUUUACACACAGCAAAAGGCACUGCCAGCCUGAAACUGCUGGUCAGGAGCAGAAGGGUGACCCCUGCAGCUCCCACCACCCUGAUGCCCUGCAGCCUCCAGCUGACUUGAUUUGCCAGUUGCUCCCUGGUGGGGAAGAGCUGCCUGCAGUCUUUGGUCAUGGCAUGAGUGCUUCCCAGACAGUUGCUUCUUUGCUUGCCUUUGGUUGUACCUGUUUUAGGGUAAUUAAUAACAGAGAGCUCCUGAGCAACUCAAAUUUAGACACUCUUUGGAAAUCCAGAUAAAAAAAAAUCUGGGAAGAGUUUGUGGUUUUUUUCCUUCUACAGCAGAGGUGAGAGGAUCUUAAGUCAGGAUGGGGGUUUGCCGCUGUGCCUUUCUUGGUCCCUGCUCUGGUUGCAGCCUCCAGGUUUGGCAGCUCUACCGCUUCCCUAGGAAGCCUGUCCCAAUGCUUGACAAAAUGCUAAUAAAUGUUUUGCUGCAUUUGUUUUCUCGCUCCCCACAACUUUCAAGUUUCAGCACACUACCAGCAGAAAUGUGAUGAAUCUUCAUAAGAAGAUUUCCAAAAUUUACAGGGCUUUGCUGGCUUUUGGUCUUGGUUUUGACUACUCCAGCAAGUCACUUGGAAUUUUAUAAAAUUGUCAUCUACAACAGAUUGAAAGAAAUAGGUUAUAUAUUGUCACAAGGUCUGAGGGUCUGUCCCUGCCAGGGUUCUCACAGGCUUUAGUCUCUCUGCCAAGGCUUCUGGGUGCAGGACCCGUGACCAGGACCCUUAAACCUCAACCCUCAAAGUUAAGGAGAAUUUCUAAAAGGGAAGGUGUGUGCUCCAUGUCUCACCCAGCCAGGGUGAGAGGGAGCACAGGGAGGGGGGUGCAGGUCCUGCUCCCUGACCCAGAACCCUGUGCCUCACUCCUUUUGUGUCCCCCGGGGUGCUGCAAGUAAUAGGAGCUGCACGAGGUGGUGACAAGUCCCCAGCAUUCCGGGUAUUUGAUCCGAGGAAAUCACCAGUCAGCCAGGAAAUGUCAAGAUUACGUCACAUGCGUAAUCUUUUAAAGCCCUGAAAAGGAGCUUGUUAAAAUCUGUGUCUCUGCAGCGUGAUCCCAGUUCCUUUCAUUUUUGCUUUGCUCUUCCACUUUACAGGAACAGGCAGGCAAAUCCCCCUCCCAGAUUUCAUUUUACUUCUCCCUCCCUUGGACUUGCAGCACUGUUGUUUGCCAUGGCCUUGCCACUUGCUGGGGCUGGAGGAGCAGGUCCCCACUUUGCUGGGCCCCCAAAGGGAAGGUGUUGUGAUGCCCAGGACCAGUGGGGAUACAGCUAUAGCCCAGCUUGUCUGCACUGGGAAAGAAGGGAGAGGACGUGGGAGUGGAGCUGCCACCCCUUCCCCUGGUGCUUGCUCACGUUCCAGGUGGGCGCCCUGGGCAGCCCAACAGCUCUGCAGGGAGGUGCCAAAACUUCCCAGAGCAAAACUGCACCUCGUUAUUCCACUGAUCCUGCAAAACUAUUACGGAGCAUCCAGCAGAGUAUGUGACACACACAUGUUUAAUUCCUUUUACAGUUUCUGUUUUGAUAUAUGCUCGAUGUGUUUUUGUAAAACAAAGAUUUAUUGGAACCUGGAAUUUUAUGACUUUAAGGUUUGCUUGAGUCCAGAUUGUGAGUUUCUCCUUUUAGAAGAGGAGGGGAAGGUUUAAAAGAGCCCAUCUGCCUGUGGCACUUAUGAAACCCUAGGCCAAGGAUGACACCUUUUCCCUUAACUUCUACUAUAAUGUCAAACAAAAAUUUACCAUCAAAUAUUAUGCCUUCCAUAUGCAAUGCCCUGCUGUAGAUUUAGAUCACAGCAAUCGUGUUGGGCUUCUCUCUUUCAAGUUUUUAUCUGUGCCAUAAGGAAGUCAGGACUCAGUGUAGGGUCCAAAGAGGAACAGCAAGGCAGGAAAAACCCAAACCAUACAUAAUUAAUGACAAUGUGCCUUCACUUGAUUUUUCUUGUACAACACAGCAAUGCCCUUGCUGCCUGCAAGGCUGAGGAAGGCAGUGUAUUUUUAAAACACAGUGCCAGUGUCAGACAGCUCCAAGUGCUCUGGUGGGAAACAACCAGCAUCCAAGGAAGCAGAGCCUGAGUCCAGCUCUCCGGUUACCACGACAUAAGUAAACAAACAAGUUUAUCACAAGUAAUGAGGGCAUUGUGCCAGUUUCAGUUAAAAUAAUGAAAUAAAUAAAAAAGAAAUCAACCCCAAACCAACAAAUCAUUACAGCAUGAGGAUAGUCCUGAAUGAAAUUGAUUGUUCGUGCCAACACCAGAAAUAUAUCUUGUCAUAAACUCGGGCCUCCACAUCUGCUCCAGCACCAGUGGAUUCUUUACAAACAGCCUCUUUAAUUUUAUCUAACAGCCUGUUAGCAGACAUGGAGUCCAAAAAUACAUCUCCUUUUCUUCCUCGCACUAUCCUGAGCUUGGCAGGGCACCAAACAUGAGGUUCAGCUCGUAAUUCAAAAAAAGCCCUUCUUUAAGCAUUGACUGAGCUUGAUUUAAUAAAAAUCCUGUCCAGCUUCCUCCAGGCAGCCCUAAUGGGAUGCAGAGCCUGGUGCUUCACAGGGGCUGCUCCAGACCUGCUGUGUGUUGGCCAGUGAGAUUUUUUUGUGGUGAAACAAUAUUGCUCUGCGGUGGAGUUGGGGAACAGGCUGGUGUUCUCCAGAAUGUCUCCCCCGAGGGGUGCAUGGCUUCACUUUCAGCCAUGCCACCCUCUGAAAAUGGAAGUGAGCAGGCAGCACCAUAAAAACAGAGCAGGGCCACGGCACGGGGUGUCCUGGUGCCCCUGGUAGCCCCAGGGAUGCUCCAGUGCUGCUGGUACCCAGCCCCCUCCCACUGGCCCUGCCUUCCCCAGGGGUAGGAGAGAAAAGCAUUAAAGACCCUAAAGUGACUUCCAAUCCCCAGGUUCUCCUGGGGGGAGAUCUAUCCAUCGUGUCCCCAGUGUGGCACUGCCAAACACUUGUAGGUGCUCCUGGAGGAAAGAUUGGGCAUUCACUGAAAUAGAGGGGGUGUUGCACUGGGGCUGGUUCCCAGAGGGUAGCCCUGACACCAGAAGCAAGACAACCACCUUCACACUUCCUAACACUGGUGUUCCCAAGCACAACAGUGAUUUUCUGGCUGCUGAUUGUCUGGGAAAGCUGGAAGGGACACUGGCUGACUUUUAAUGCCAGGACAAGAGUGGCUGACGUCACCUUAGAAGAUGAAACACAUUCCUGCUGUGAGGACUGCACCAAAUUACAGACCCAGAAUUCCCAAGAAAUUAGUGUGAGAAACACCAUACAACACCACAUUCACUGCAACACAGGAACUCAUUAGCUGGAUAGUUGAAAAUGUUAAUAAUUAUCCCAUUUGACAAACCAAGGUAUGUAUUUUAAGACUCAAAGUUUGCUGUGCUAAAGAAAUUUUAAUGGCCUGCCAUGUCAUGAUGUCCAGGGGAAAAGGAUGUUUUGUAGUUUCUCCUCAUGGCUCAGUUGUUUAUUUAAAUUACUUGGAAACUAAACCAGCAACAAACAUAACCACUGCUGUUGUGAGGUGUGGUUAACAAUAAGUAGAUUUUAUUUAGCAUUACAUCAAAGGAUGAAAUAGAGUGAAAUAAAGGAAAGGGAAGUUUCUUGAGUGGUCAGUGAGCCAGAUCCCAAUGCCAAGACAUGGAGGAGGAUCAACAGAAAUCCUGCAGAGCCCAUCCCAUCACUCGGUCAUGAUGACAGAGGCAAAUAAAUGAGCAGCACAGAUGUCAACAAAAGAGAACUACUACAUGUAGCAAAGGAUGCUGCAGGUCUGUAGUGUUGGAGGGGCUCUGUUGGCUGGUGUGGGGGAUGCUGGUGGCACCCUGGGGCUUUUCAUCACCUCCUGGAGGGAUUUUCUGACCGGUCCUUGUGGUUGUGCCAGGGAGGCUUGAGAGCCUUGUGCUGCUCGGCUGCCAAUUCUCAGCAGCACCCCACCCAACAAUAGGGAGGCCUCCAGGAUUUGCUGGGGGGCUUGUGGUCCCUCCAGUCAGGUGCCAAAUUUCACUUUACAAAGAGCACAAGCAUUCAUCCAGUGGUACCUAACUGAUCUGAGCAUGGCUGAUGCCUUUCAGCUGAAUUUCAGCUGCAUAUUAAAGAGAAACAGAUAGAAGGCAGACAAUUGAACAGGAAAAGUGGGUUUAGCUGCCCAGCUGUGAGCUGCAGUGCCCUAAUCCUUCCCCUUAUGUGCUACAACAGGGUGUAAUUCAAUCCUAAAUUACUGAAAAUCUUGAUGUUUUGUAAAUCACACAUCAGAAGGUAUUUUAUUUACACAAGCAUCUACUCAUUAGCAGUAUCAAAAUACUGGCAAUACUGUGCAUGCUCUGCAGGAGUUCUUGUCAGCGCUACAUUUCACAGCUCAGAUAGCCCCAGCUGAGAGGUACACAUAGGUCUUCCUGGCAUCUCCUUUUUUGUCUAGUCCUAUGACUGGUGGGGUCAAAUGGAAAAGCCACGUCUGAGUGAAGAGGUCUAGAGGGAUAUGGUGGGCAGGGGAGCAGGACAUGGGCAAGCACAGGCACCUCUACUCAAGUGGUGGCUCUGCCAUCUUUAGAGACUUCCCAAAGCCGGCUUGAUGGAUCUCUGGGAAACGCAAGCCCUCUCCAAAGUCCCUUGCUUACUGUCCCUGCAGCUUGCAGGUAGUGACAGUCGUGCUCCAGGCAUUCUGUGCACGUUGCUCCUAAAAGCUUCUAAAAUCUUUCUUCCAGUGAAGGCUGGAGGAGCUGAUGCUGCAGUAGGAAGGAGGAGAAGUAGGAGGCUUGAAAAGGUCACACCAAGGCUGCAAUUUCCAAAUAAGUGUGAAGGAACUGGAUGCCUUAACACCCUCCAAUUUAAACACUCGGUCAUGGCUGUUAAUGGAGUGCGCCGUAAAUCUGCAUUUUCUUUACCUAUUCAAGGAGAAUUAGAGGGAGAGACCUCUUAAUGUUAAGCAGGAGAAAACUUUUUGACUGUGAAGGCUGUUCUUCCACACAGGAAGGUUGCUGGCAGAAAAUGACAGCUUGUGGACAAACAAAGUCAGAGUGGCUGCAACAGCAAGAGUGGAGGAAGGGAAAUGCAGCCUCAGAUGAAAAUGAGACUGUAAAUAGAGAAAUAACCAGUCUGAGGUGUCCAUAUGUUUCAUGGACUCACUUCCCUCCUUUUCUAGCAUUUUGCUGAGCACUAUAGCAAUAUUCAAGCCAUUAUUACAUUAAGAAGUCUUUCAGCUUUUCUGCCUGAAAAAAUAGUCAUCACUUGUAAAUUGAAGGCAUCACUCUCUUAUCUGGUCUGCAGCCAGAAGGGCUGGAAGCAAUAGAAGAAGUGUGAACUUUCUCCUUCAUCUCAGAGAACAUUAACUUCAAAGCCAAGCCAUAAACUUUCAGAUGUAAUGACUAUUUGUCCAAAAGAGAAACACAUCAGCUUGAUCAAUGAGUGAAAGGUAUGAAACACAGAGGUUACAUUUGCUAAACACUUGGGAAAAAUGUGUGGUUAGGCUUGGGUGGAGAGGGGAGUUACUACUGAGUUAUUAGGGCAGGCAGGCCCAAGGGGCAGUGUGAGGAUGGUUGUGGGUGGUUGUAGGUCCAGCACUGAGUGGUGUCUGUCCCAGGGGAGGCUGGGCUGCCCUGUCAGAGUGUGCUCCAGCGCGCCCUUGAGCGCAGGCCUUCACCACCGAGUGGGGACCUUGUCUCUGUGUUGGCAGCCACACUACUCUGCUUUUCCAAUAAACCAUGGGAGAAAACAUCCCUCCUUUCAGCUGCUCAAACAAAACAUUCAGGACCACCAGCACUUCCUCCUGUGUCCUUGCUCCAGCUGUGUGAAGGCUGACUGGGAAAAAACCCCUUGUGGGUGCACUGCCUUGUCCCCUGAGCAUCGCUGAGCUCCACGGCGCAGGGUCCAGCAGCGCUAACACAGCCAGGCAGGCAUGCUCAGAGAUUUCAGACACCUUUGGUAAGGCUCCCCACAUCCUUCUUCCUAUUUUUUAAACAUGCUUUCCAUUUUUCUGAUGAAAGCUCCAUGGAAAUAGAGAGCAACAAUGUCUUUUUGUUUCCAUGGCUUUAGAGGGACAAAAAGAUUUAUAUUAUGUGACUUUUUUCUGAGGAUAACCAUUGCCCUUCCUGAUAACAUCCCUUCUCCCCUCACCCAUUAGGGCUUCCAGGAGGAGUCUGGACCCCAUCCUCUCCCUGGGCAGUGGGUGUGUGAUCCUUGUGCAUGGUACAGGUGCUCAGAGAGGACAUUUUGUAGUCUUAACUCUUUGGUGAAAGUGUUUUUAGAAGGAGUAAUUGGGAGGACUUGCUGCUGGGCACUGGCUUCUGCUUGCCAGGGCUCCAGGGCUGGGGAAUGAGGUCCAGACCUCUGUGAUUCCUGUCUGAGGAUGGAGAGGAGGAAGUGCUGGAGUAUGAAGAGGGAUUUUGAAAGGUCUGUAACAUCUUCUGCCAACAUCUUUUUUGGAUCAGCCCUGCAUGAACAAGUGAGAGCCCGGAAGAGCCGUGUCAUCCUUGAGGACAUCUGGGCUUUCUGGGGGGCAGCUCCAUUUGGGAUGGGAGGCAGAGGGUUGCUGCCACUGCUGGGAGGAAAAAGAGAUGGGGUUGCUGGCUCCACAGGCUUCCACAGCAUCCUGCUUUCUCCCUGUGCUGUGCUUGCCUGUCUCCUAAAUCCCUGGGAGGCUAAAAUGCCUCUAUAGGAAACCAGAGAGCAAACCUGAUCCCUUCUUGCUCACAGGAAUUUGUGUCCCCAAAUUCCUGUUGGAGUGAAUGGAGCUGGUGGAGUCUACUCAGGCUCCUCACCAUACAGGUGGUGUUGGGAGGAGAUGGUGACUCAGCUCUUGACCUGCCCCUAGACGUGCCCUGGCCUCCAGAAGGGUGAUCUCACUAAUCACUUUUUAAGAAUCCAGCAUCCAGGGUUAAUCAACACGAGCUGAAUUACAGCAAAGGUUCCUACAGCAAUGGAAAAAUCCUGUGCAACUCCCUUCCCUCAAGUUAUCCUCUUGGAUAGUGAGGUUUAUCUUCUGCCUGAAUUCUGCCUAAAUCCUCAUGAUCCCUGCAAAGCCAAGGCCUCUUUCCAAAAAGCUUCUGCCUCUCGGGGCCUUUGUCUAUUUGACAAGGCAGAUCUUCCAAUAGUUGAUUUUCUGUUUGGCAAUCAAACUAAAGGCUAAAAAAUCAUGAUACAGGUCAACCCCAAACCCAUCACGGGAAUGGAAAGGGAGAGUCCCAAGGAAACUUUGUCCUCAGCCACAAGGUCUAUGAAGAGAAGCAAUCACCCACUGCAAUCCACUGCCUACAACACAGCCUCAGAGCACACAGGAUGCAAGUUCAAAUCCCUUAUGUUUCUCAUAUGGAAAAUAUUUUAAAAAAGCUUUCCUGGAAGCAAUAUCACACCCAGUGUGCCAGGCAGCACCGGAGGCACAUGGAGAUGGAGCACAAAGAGGCAGGAGACUGGCUGUGCCUUGCUGUGCCUACACUGCUCAGCACAAAGGCCAGGGCAGAGUGGCACCCCUGGAACUGCAGGCACUGUGCCUAGAGCUUGCUUCCCAAGGAGAACACUCACCUUGGCAACUGCUCCUUGGAAUGAUCCACACCAAAGGCUCAGAGUUAGCAGAGAGCCCAGCAGACAAUGAGCACAAACCCAGGGCUGGAGUCCAUCUCUUCUUUGCUGGAGAUGUAGCUAUGCCUGUCAGAUGUGCCUACAAGGUCAGACACAGCUCCCCAGCUGACUCUGGGUCCUCAUCCUUGACUGCUCCCGUGGUGUUGGUCAGCACAUGCCUAUGCUAUCCUCUGGACCAGGACAAGCAGCUCCCUCCAGCCACCAGGCAGUGCUGCUCUGGGCAUGGAUACCCCUGGGACAACUUGCAAAAGCCUCAUGAAUGAGCUCUGUCUCAUUUCCCUCAGUAUGUUCCUCCAGCGUGGUCCCACCAGCCUUUCCAUCCUCCAGCUAUUCUGAAUGCUCUCAUACCUCAAUCCAGGCCAUGCUACACACCCUAUGGAAUUCAGUACUGGUGACCUAUAGCAUCAUCUUCCUGGGCAUUUUAUGCUGGAAUAAAAAACCACCAAACUUACAAAUACUUUGGUUUGCUCUUAGGUCCAUAGACCCAACACACAGGGCCAAGCUAAGCUGGAGUCAAGUGCCAUGCUGUGCUGUCAAAAUCAGCCUCCUUUUUGUUGGCUGGCUCUCAGCAGCCAAUGCUACUCUGAAACAACUUUCUUGUCCACUACCUACCAGAUCCCAGGCCUGCUCUCUGGGGCAGGCAGUUUAGUCCUGCUGGUAUUCCUGCUCUAUCUGGUCCAAUAAACAGUGUAAAUAAUUCUACCCUGAGGAAGAGGAUUAGGAGAGCCCCAUUGCAGGCUGUCCUGUGGUUUGGCCACACUCUGAAGACACAGCAUGUUGGGUAAAUCCUUGCUCCAGCUGAGGUUUCCUUUUGAGAUCAGCUUCAAAAAAAAUAAAAGUAAAAAGAACCUCAAACCAACAAAGCAAGCCAUUUUUAUGUUUCUAAUUUUUGGUGCUAAUUCUGAUGAAUGAUUGCACACCAAUUGGCAGAUAGGUUCAGUCAGCCAGAAACUGUGCUUUUCAGUGAGUAAGCUGUUCUUCAGACAUCAUCGGCUCUACUCGUACCCCCUUCCCACUGCCACAGGAGAGGGAAGGGGUACUGCAGGUACUGCUUCAUGUAUGGUCCUUGCUGCCCUGGCUCUGAUGUAGCCACCAGAUGGUCUCACCCUCUGCCUGCUCUUCUGCUUGGAGACAUUAAGGACCUUCAGCAGUUACCAUCUCUCACUCUGGGCAGCUUCUUCCUCAGCUGCACCUCUCGCACUGCUGUCAGAAUGGCCAUGGUGAGUCUGU